rnacentral:lncRNA from 1 species
AUAAAAAAGUCUUUAUUGUGGAGAAAAAUGUUUAUUUUUAUGCAGAAGGAAGAUGGAGUUGACAGUUUAGACUGUAGAAUGAAUAGCAGUUACUUCUCACUUGUGGUCCCGGCCAUGACAAAGCUGCUCAUUUGGAAUGCUUCUCAGCCAAUGUGAGCAUUGUAUGGAACUGAGAUUUCACUUUUCAACCUUCUGCCUUCAGCUAAUCUACAUCUGGACAAACUGGACCAAGGCCAGCUUCAAACAGUGGGUCCCCGUGGCAGAAGCUGCCUUAGUGUGAAUAUUCAUUGAACAUGGGGUCACACAAAUUAACAAUGAAAUCAUCAUUAAAAAGGAGAAGAAAAGACCAAACUAUCAACUGAAUCUGUGAAAAAUAAAAAAUAUGACCAGGGGUUGCAAGAAUAGUCAUUUAUCAUGUCAGCUCAAUUCUAGUAGUUAUAUCCAUGAAAUAGAAUGUUAAGGUCACCAUGUGACAUAGAAGAAAUUGGAAA